UUGUCUUUGGGGCGGGGUGUAAUUCCCUACCGGCGGUAGAGUCCGCGAGCGCAAGCACGAACCGGUGCAAUUCCGGUACCGACAGUAUAGUCUGGAUGAGAAAAGAC
rnacentral:ncRNA from 1 species